AUCGAACGCUGGCGGCAUGCCUAACACAUGCAAGUCGAACGAGACCUUCGGGUCUAGUGGCGCACGGGUGCGUAACGCGUGGGAAUCUACCCUUGGGUUCGGAAUAACUUCGGGAAACUGAAGCUAAUACCGGAUGAUGACGUAAGUCCAAAGAUUUAUCGCCCAAGGAUGAGCCCGCGUAGGAUUAGCUAGUUGGUGAGGUAAAGGCUCACCAAGGCUACGAUCCUUAGCUGGUCUGAGAGGAUGAUCAGCCACACUGGGACUGAGACACGGCCCAGACUCCUACGGGAGGCAGCAGUGGGGAAUAUUGGACAAUGGGCGAAAGCCUGAUCCAGCAAUGCCGCGUGAGUGAUGAAGGCCUUAGGGUUGUAAAGCUCUUUUACCCGGGAUGAUAAUGACAGUACCGGGAGAAUAAGCUCCGGCUAACUUCGUGCCAGCAGCCGCCGUAAGAC
rnacentral:rRNA from 1 species